CAACUGAUUUUUCACGUAUGUUUUCCUCCAUACCUGGUUUCGACACUAAAAACACCAAAACCUUUCUUCGAUGAGACGCUGUACCUUCAGUCCGCAAACCAAAACAAGAUGAGGAACUUAGCAAGCGUGAAAAGCGCAUGCUCAUAAAAGGAACAAACAUUUCUCAUCGACCAUCGACUACAGAGGACACAGAAUUAUCGGAUGUUGCAUCCACCUCGACUGCCGUAGUAGAUAUGGAAAGCUGGAUAAGCGACACCGUUCCAAUUGACGAUGACGAGUCAGACCAAAAAGAGCGUGAUUUUUGGAUUGAAUGCACAAUCAAAAAGUGCAGCUCAUGCUCUCGUAAUGCCAGAAAGCUGAAUACAGCAACCAAGAAAAUCUUACGUCUAGUUGGCAAAAUUGCAUACUCGGGAAGGAAAUGGUAAUUUGUCUUAUUUCUUAUUUCAUUAGUGUUCUGUCUCAAAUUGUGCUGCAACAACUAUUUUGCUUCAGCUUGGUGAAUUAAUUUUUUAUAUUAUAACUCAGAUAGUCCAUCCAAAGCUAGACGAGUAGUAUACAAAGACAUUUCAAUGACCCGACAUGAAGAAAUAUUUGGCGACGACGAAGUUAGAGAAGAAAUCGGGGAUGAAGAAUUUUUUGACGAGGGUGCACACAGCGAGGGAAUCGAAACUGAUACUGAUGAUGAUGAAGACAGUUCAAAACAUAUCAGGCAAGACUACCUUUAAUGCUGUGUAAAUAAAAAAAAUAAUGUGACACGUGACUCAUAAAACUACAUUUGUUAAAAGACAUGAUAAUUUAACUAGUCUAAUCUAAUCAUCUAAUCAUCAUGUUUUUGUUUAGAAAAACAUUGCUUCAUCAAAUUUUUGCUGUCGGAAGUUCACAUUCAACCGCUGUAGGAGUACUGCAAAUUUGUGUGCCUAACCACUGAUUUUGAUUUAUUAUGGACAUUUAACAAAAAUGCUGAAUUCAUAUACGUUCCUUCAAAGAUGUAUGUUUAUAAUGAAGCAUUAAUAAAACAGUUUGAAAAAAAAGAAACAGGAUGUGCUUAACUUUGUUAAUCAAACAUAUAGUGUGCACUGAACUGUGUCACACAAACUAGUGGAGUGCAAUAUUAUACAAUAUAUAAAUAUUUAUAAUUCGUUGUAAAAUCUAUUUGCUGCAACUUUCCAAAAUAAUUAGCCAAUGAUGCUAUUGGCAAGUAUUCUGAAGAGAUAGUGUAAUUUAUUCAUUUUUCUUGCUAUCUUUUAGAGUUGAUGAUAAUGUACCCAUUCAGAAAGAACCACAGUUUGUUGCUUUCUAUAGCAUGCUAGUUGCACUUUUCUCCAUGUUUUGGUUCAAAUGUAAAGAUGGGAAACCAACUGUGCAAAUGAAGAAAAAUGGAACAAUGGUGACCAUUUACCAAAGCUGUUCAACAUGUGGGCCAAAAUCUUUCAAAUGGCAAUCACAGCCGUUUCUUGUUGGUCGUCAUCCUGCUGGGAAUGUUCUGUUGAGUUGCGCUAUUCUUGCUGCUGGUGCAUCUGUCAGCAAAGUAUUACUUGUUUUCAAGCAUAUGGGGCUCUCUGCAAUUUCAGCAAGAACCUUUUUUCGGCAAUUUCAGCAAGAACCUAGUCAUUAAAAUGAUUAGCAAAUUCGAAUUCAAAACCAUAAUAAUCAACAUUUUGUAUAGACUUGAAAUUUUGAACAAUCAUUUAAGGGGGGAAGGGGGAACCUUACAAUCAUGUGCAUAUGACACUCUGUAGGACUUGGAUGGCCACAUAUAAUCAAACUUUUUCAUUUUAAUUACAUUUGCAUUUACAUAUUUCGUUUGUGUUCUCGGUAUAAGUUACUUCUUGGAUUAUAAAAUCAUAUUUUAUUUAGCAAUAGAGCUAAGUAUUAACUAAAUAUAUCGUCAAUAAUCUGUAACCUUAUAUAUAUAUACUAAUAAUUUGUAGUGAAAUAUGUAUUUGAUAUUGUGUUUGUCUAAUCUGUUUUGGAGGCCAAGGAAUCAGGCUGCAUUCUAUAUACUGGUUCUGGGAAUUGUCUCCAACUCCAACAAGAAAGUCAUUUGAAAGUCGCAGUUUUGCAGACCUUUUAUUGAAAUAAGACUUGAUGGAAUGUAACAAGUAUUCAGGCAACAAAGGAAGAGUUAUUUCAUUGGAAGCAGCAUUAUUUAUUGCAUUUUAACUUAGUGUUGUUUUAAUAUGUAAAAUUGAAAAAAAGAAAGAAUGACAUUUAUCUCUACCCAUCAGUUGUUUUUAUUUGUAAAUGAAACUUAAAUACUCACCUAAUUCUGGACCUAAAUAGUCCAUUGGCAGUAAAACUUAAGGCAAUUAGCAAACGCCCGAUUUCAAACUAAAUCCAAAGACAGUAGACUCGUCCUUACUUUCAAGCAAUUUGUGUAUGGUAUUGUCACAGAAUUCUGAAGUGUAUUUAUAUCGUGAACGUCAUAGAAUGGUGGCAGCUCAACGCACGCCGCUUGUCCGCAUUUUCCAUCAUGCCUCGUAAUGGUUGCUUUGUUCCACUGCCCAAUCAGAGAGGUGAGCAAUUCCAUGAUCUAGCAAUAUGUUUCCGCUGCGGCUUGCACUAACGACAUGAGCUCCCCCCUCCCUAUCAACUUUCUUCAAUGGAACAUCUUGACAAAUGCUUUUUCUGGGUUUUUCAAGAAAACCGGGAAGUUCAAUUUCGAGUAAUUCACAAAUACACUGUAUCUGUAGAAUGCACUGAACCAAAAAAGCCUUGCAGUGAGAAAAAAACUGCUCAUCAGCAUGUUUUUCUACGAGCUCACUGAUAAUGCUUUAAAAAGUAAUAGUUCCAAAACAAAAUUUUGUUAGUGAGACUGACUGAUCUUUCUCUUUGGAUUAAAUCUAAAUGGUCUGUUACUCGCACCUAUUCCAUUUUCAUAAAGCCUGUGCAUAUCCUUUUAAUAAAUAUCGAGACCUUUUGCUUCAGCUGAUGCAGCAAAGGCAUCCCACUCUGAAAAAGCAGGUUGAAUUAUGUCAGCCUAUCAAGGUUGUGUCCGAAGAAUUGAAGGUAUGUCAAAGUGAACUUGUUAUCAGUACCUCAUAUUAUUCAAUGGUUCUAUUUACAAAAGCUUCAUUGAGAGGCAUCUUCUCUGCUAAGGCUGUUAAAUUCUAUGUUUUUCUGUUCCGAAGAAAUCUUGAAAAUCUUUCAAGCAAUCCAUCCAAUUUGAUGAUGCAUUAAAAUGUGUAUUCUGUACUUGUCCUCAAAAAUUUUUGGCAGCGUUUUGGAAGCGUAGGAGGCACAAAGGUAAAUAGAAUAGCAGGAACAUUUGAGUUAGACCAUCAGUGAUAGUUUGCCCUUUUCCCAUCUAGAAUUCUCACUAAGUCCGCAAAUACACUUUUCAUGCUGAACAUUUGACAAAAAAAACCAACAAAUACUAAAAACCUACUACUGGCAAGUCUGGUUGGUUCAAAAUUCUAAAAAUUUGAUGCCUUUAACAAUUUAAUUAUUAAAUCGUUGUUGGACAGUCUCAAAGCUUUGAGACCUCCACAGUUAUAUUUGAAGACAUUAGUUUCAAGUAUUGUUGAAAACAUUGUGAUUAAUUUAGAAAUUUGUUUAAAUUGCAACCAACUAAAAAGUAAGAAAAAAACAGAAACAUUUUGGGCAUUAUUCAUUUUCUCCAUUGUUUCCCACCUUUGAGGCAUUCAUAUUCUUGCUACAGCUAUAGAGCUAUUUUGAUUUUGGUAAGCUACAAAAAAUUAGCGAGAGCCCCGCCAAUUUAGGGGAAGAAAGGAGGUGCGCUUACUUGUUUUUGUGAAAUGAUCCACAAACGUAAUGAAAGCUCCACAUGCCAAAUUAAUGCAAGACUUGCAGAUUCAAGGUACUUAGAAUGUGGACCAAAUGUUUUCCUAUGCAUAGAUUGAUGCACCAGCAGUCACAAGAAAUGCAAUAAAUUCCACUAUUCCGAAAAAUGGCAGGAACAAUAUAUAUAAAUUUCCUUCUUGAUGGAAAUUGGUCCAGCAGUAAAAAAUAUUAUAAGCAGUGGAGGAUAAUUCAACCAUCAAUAAAAUCGACUUCAUAUUGCUUACUGUAAUAUUUUCCAUUUGUUUCAUGAAAAAGUUCAUGACUGUCAAGAAAAUAUUUUGCACAGUCAACUAACCCGACCCCCCCCCCUUGUGUUUGCUACUUUUUUUUAAUGACCACAAAGGUUAAAAAGAUUCAAAAAGGUAUUUGAUUUACCAGAGCAGUAAAUUGUAUAGAUAUUGAUAUUUUCCAUUUACAUAAUCAUUUCAGGGACAUUUGUUCCAUUAGAUCGUCCAUCAAUAUAGAUCUUUGCAUGGAUCAGCAUAAAAGCAAAAAUCAAGAAGUUUCAAAAAAAAUUUGAAAGUUGCUGAUGCUCAGUGUUAAGUUUUCAGAGAUAUUCAUUUCUUUACUAAACCCAGCAAUUCUGCACUGAAACUGAGUUGCGUAGCUUUUGUAUUUUAUCUUACCACAUCCUUUUUUAUUUACAGGUAGGCUGUUGGAUACAGUUAUGGAGUUAUGCUGCUACAAACCAAAUUUAUACUUUAUAAUGAAAUAAAGACUUCGGCAAUGAAAACCAAAAUUGCCAAGGAUGGAAUACAUACGAGGGUCACUCCAAAAUUAUUGAGAUAUUCAGUAACCGCUUGAGAUAUCAGUUUGAAAUUUUUUUGGUGGCUUGUACCAUCUAUUUCACCCAUGUUUUGUAAUUUUUGUUAAUUUCAAGCGCGGAAAAAAAAUAAAGAAGGGUUUUGAAUUUCAGCACCUUAGAUGUUCUUAUUUGUUAAAAAUGGAGCUUGAAGGAUGUGAUUUUCGCGCAAUGAUUUAUUUUGAUUUUAAAAGGGGGCUGAAACAAGAAGAAUGCCUAGCUCAGCUUCUACAGACUUUUGGAGAUAAUGCACCUUCAAGGGCAACAGUUUUUCGAUGGUUUGCCGAAUUUAAGAGAGGGAGGGAGAGCCUUAAAAAUGAGACCCACCCAGGGAAGCCCCCAACUGCUGUUGUGCCAGAAACAGUUGCUGCUGUGGAGAAGAUGCUAAGGCAAGAUGGUCGGAUGACUUAUUCUAUGAUGCAGGAUAGCUUAAAGAUUGGAUCAGCAGCAUUGCACACAAUUUUGCAUGAAAACUUGCAAGUUCGGAAAGUGGCUGACCGCUGGGUGCCACAUUGCUUGUCAGAUGAGCAAAAAGAGCAGCGAGUCAAUUGGUGCCAGCUCAAGCUGCAAAAAAUAAAUGAAGGGAAGUCGAAACGGGUUUAUGACAUUGUGACAGGCGAUGAAAGUUGGGUUUACCAAUUGGACCCGGAGACAAAGCGCCAAUCCCCAAUUUGGAUCUUUCCAGGUGAAAAUCCGCCGCAAAAAUUUUGGCGAUCCAGAAGCGUCGGCAAAAGGAUGGUUGCAUCAUUUUUCUCUAAGACGGGUCAUGUCGCAAACAUUCAAGUUGAAGACCGCCGUACAGUGAACACGGAUUGGUAUGUUAACCACUGCAUACCACAGGUUCUAGAAGUUUGGCGAAAUAAACGUCCAAGGACUGGCUUAAGAGGUCUACUUUGACAACGCUUCCGCUCACACAGCUGCUUUGACCAUCGACUUUCUGUCCGAAAAUUCAGUUCAGUUGAUGACCCACCCGCCUUAUUCACCUGAUUUGGCACCUUGUGACUUCUUCCUCUUUCCAGCGGUGAAAGAGAAAAUUCGCGGAACCAAGUUUGAUAGCGCUGAUGAUGCAGUUAGUGCCUUCAACGAGGCUGUUUCUGACUUGGCUGCGGAAAAAUGGGCCCAUUGUUUUGAUAUGUGGUUUUAUCGUAUAAGACUUUGUGUGGAAGCCAGUGGAGAGUAUUUUGAGAAACUGUGAAAAUUUGAACACGAUGCCUCUUGCGGUUUUUGAAUAUCUCAAUAAUUUUGGAGUGACCCUCGUAUUUGAAUUCAUGGAUUGGCUUGAAGGAUGCUUUUAUGAAAUUCAAGUGUAAGUGACUUCGUUUUGUGCAAGCAUAAGGCUACAGACUUAAAAAUCAAUGCAGUUUGGCCUAUUACUCGUAUAAUGGCAACUUGUUAUUUGUGUAACUUUUCCAUGUAUAUCUUUUAUAUUUCUAUCUUUUCAAUAUUUUCAAUUAGAACUGCUGAUCUGUGAGGGACAUUAAUCAUUACCACGUAGUAGCCAUAUUGUCCUGGACUUCCCCCAGGUAGCUCACUUGUAGUCUACUUUGAGAUGUUGUACAAGCGCAAAGCAAAGGCUUCUCUCCAUCUCUAAAUUUUUCAUGCAUAAUCUUGUUAGAAAGGAAAAUGGUUUACCACUUAUAAAGUUGAUUUCUCUGUGGCGAUAGUGCUUACUGACAUUUUUUGAUGAUGUCAGUUUGAUCUAAUGUAAUUUCCACAAUAUUAGAUGUCUUCUUAUCUCUUACAAAUUGAGGAAAGUCCUCUUUUUACUUCCUUUCAUUAACUAGCCUACUCACUACUUUUCCCCUCUUUUUGCACCCUUUUUUUUGUUUUUGAUCCUACAUCUCCAGAAAAACAUCUUGCUAUGUCGAGUAUUAUUGAGGAUUCUAUAUUUAUGGAGAAAAUACACAAAAGGGCCCCCAUUUAUUAAGUAUUAAUUUAUUACAAAGACAUUAACCAACUGCCUAUCACCGAGGCGAAAAUUUCAUAUCCGACCUUUCGCUAUCACAACGUUUUAUGUAAAGCAAAUGUUAGCAAUCUAAAAUGAAAGCUUAAACUAAGGUUCUCAGAUACCUCAUAACCAGAAAUCAAAGAGUGCAUGGUAAAUUUGAAAGUAUUUCCUCUUCAGUGAUUGACCAGAUUUGAGCCAUUUUGAGGAGCAUUGCUGGACAGCAUAUGAAUGCGUUCUUGAUGCAAAAAUGUUGUCAUUCACAGAUUCACAAGACAGACGCAGCAACAAAGUCUAACCCAGAUUCCCAUAUAAAUCAUACUGUGAAGACCGCAGAAAUGCACUUAUUUUGUGCUGAAGAAGAAAGACAAAUCAGCCAAGACAUUGCCAUAUCUUUAAAGAGCAAUGUGGAACACACCUUCAGUUACAGAAAAAACCAAAGAUUUUAAAGAUUUCCAAGUCAGACAAUUAAUUGAAAGACAAAUAAUGGAGGGCAGCAUUCAAAUAGAUGAAGCUAGAUCAGUGCUUGCUGAUCAACAUUUUAUUGAAAAGGAUGUAAAUGUUAUAUAUGAUCGACUGCUGUGCAUCAUUAGAAAAGAGAGUACUUGUGAUGAAGCAACAAAGUUACCAGAUGUAAUUAAAAUGGAUGAAGAAAAUCUCAGUCAGUCAUGAAUGCAGCUGUGUCAAUAGUGAUGACAACGGACUGCACACUGCAAGGACUGAGCAGAGAAGCAUUACUACUGAAGACGGUGAAGAGAUCCAUAACAACAUAGAAAUAAACAUCAAAUAAACAUGAAGGAUGCAAGAUUUUAGAAAAAUUAGACACGGCAGUAAAAAGUGAUGAAAAUAAAGUACCAAUAGAUUUAAAAGUUGUCAUUUAAUCUAGAUGUAAAGGUACUGCAAGAUUCAGUUUACAAAUGAUGGGUUUGUUUUAAUUUUUGAAACUUGAAAACACGCAUAAGCUGUUACUAUUCCAGUUUAAUGCACCAUCCAUUGCAUUUGAUAAUGGCUGUUUUUAUGUUACUUCUUGCAAGUUUUCAUAAACUUUUUGGUGAUCAGAUUUCUAGAAUUGUUGCAAUGGUCAUUUUUAUUACAGAAAAUGAUUUAAUACCACCCUGAAAAUGCAGUAAAUAGUUACAUUCUCAGUAGUAUGGGCUUUUUUCAAGAAAGGAAGCUAUGAAAUGUUUGACUUGAACAGGUAAAAUAUCAUUGACUUUUCAUGCAGGAGAAUUCAUUCUUCUUCUAAUUGCGUGGUGGAAGCAGUUCUGCAUGUGUUUGCAGACAUGGUAAUUGUAGGCUUCAAGGGACUUGAACGCUUUCAUAGCUUUAUUGGUAAACUCGUUGGAUGAAUCGAUCAAGUAUUGAGUUACCUAACUCCACAAAGAAUUCAGCAAGUUUGAUAUAUCAUUAGUUUUUCCCUGUUCCAGCAAAAACAGGUCAGGAAGCAUUGUGCCGUUGGUGAACAAUGAAUUCGCAGAAGAAUGCUUUUAAGCUGUUAGUCCAAGAAUGUAGUCUUGAAGCUUUUCCUCAAAAGCUAUUUUAGAUUUUACCAGUAUACAGAGACACUUUCAUAUUGUAGCUAGGUCAUGUGUUAACACAUAUGGCGACCUGUAAAAGCCCAUUUCCACUUUUUUUGCAAUUUGCAAAAUCACAUGCGAUUUUGUAGGCACAAACCCUCUGCCCCCACAUGAAGUGAGUGAUCAUUCCAAGAGUGAGUGUGUGAAAGUGUCAACAAUCACUUCACUUAUCAAAAACCUUGUGGUUUUUGGAAAGAGAAAGAAGAAAACAAGUGAUGAUGUUGAUCAUGCAAUUCUGGAAGAAUUAAGAGAGACAUCACAGUCAACACCAUCAAAAAGAGAUGAAGACAGCCUAGUUAUGAAGAGACUCGUCCCUCAAUUAAAACGUUUAGAGUUCAAACAAAAGGCACGUGUAAAAUGCCAAAUGCCAAAUUCCUCUACAGCAAAUUUUAUUUAAAGCUGAGUGUUGAUGCCCGAAUAUUUAAGUAAAGUUUCUGGUUAAUAUCCUUGGCAUAAAAAAGUAUUGUUGUUGUAUUAUAUUUUGUUUUUAUGCGAAAAUCUCAGAUUACCACUUAGCAUUUCUAGUACGGAACUUACAAAAAUACAACCUACAGACAGUUUUUAGGCCCUGCAUGCACCAAACAAAAUUUCAGGAAAAACUUCUGGCACACUUAAUCUCUAUUGUUCAUAGAGAUAGCGGAUUAAGCUUGUUUGUAAACAAAUGCUGAUUUUCCAAUGCGGCCACCCAAGUUGCCACUGAAGAAAAUUUACUGAAGCUUGGUUUCCACUAUGAGUUAACAUGAGUUAAUUUGAGAUAAUUUUGUGAUCUGACAUGGUUUAAAAAUUAUCUCAUAGUGGCAACAGUCAUUAAAAAUUAUCUCAUGAAAAUUAACUUGUGUUAACUCACGUUAUCUCAUGAGCUUGGAAACAAAUUUUUGUAAUUUCAAGCUCAUGAGUUAACUUGAUAACAUUUAAUCAAAAGAAGCUGAUGCGCGGUAGAGGAAUAUGCUAUAACUUGCACUGAGGUUCUCACGCAAUGCACUUGCACUGAGUAUUACUUUAGAUGUUGAGAACAGUUUUCCUUACUCAAAAACAUUUAAUUGUGAAAUAAGAGAAACAUUUUCUCAUUUCUAAGAUCCUGUUGCAAGUGGUCGUAUUCACCAAAUGCAUAUCUUUUUUGGUAGACUUUCCGUACCGAAAACCUUGGUAGACUUUUCAAUCGGCAGUUCUAGCAAAUAAAAUAAUUUCCUUCUAAAUAUUCUCAAAAGCAGAAGUAAAAUAAGUUACAAUACCCUAAGCCAUAUCAUUCUUUGUUUAAACAACUUCACAUUGACUAAACAGCAAACAACUAUUUUACACACCAACUGCAGAUUCGUUGCCAAAAUAUUUGGUGAACUUACAUUUCCGAUAAUCUUAAAUCACAUUUUAUGAUGUGCAGCAGUGUAUUUACAGUAUACUAAGUUUCACUCCUGUUAUAAAAAUGAUAGUCAACGAAUCCCUAUGCCCCAAUAAAUUAUUCACCAGUUUUUUCAGCUCUCAUUAGUAGACCAGUUUUUGAAAAUAGUUUCCUUCUAAAGCCAGGGUAUUCAUUGCCAAAUUUCUCCCAAGCUUCUCCUAACCAUUUUGUGAUCAGUAUCCUUCUUUCGGAAGCUGUAAUAUUUAAUUGCUAUUUCUCUAGGUUAUAAUCUUCUUCAAGAAAAACAUCCAUCGGCUCCCCAUUAAUACUUUGAUUUAAUAACCUUCCCCUGGUUGGCAUUUUUCUGUCUCCUGUGGAAGUAGUGGAUACACAACAAUAUUAGCUAUAGAUUGGCAAGCUCUAUGAAAUUCUCAAGUCAUUUGAAAGAUGAAAAAGGUCAAGCAUUCACCAAUAUCAUAAAAGAAUGAACAGAAAAGAAUUUUGUAUGCACAGUCAAGACCAACAAGAAAUACAUUAUCAUACUGAGAAAGAGCUCAGCCCCAUGCCAUCGAAAUGGAGGUUUUCUGCCAAAUUCUAGAUGUAAAGGUACUGCAAGAUUCAGUUUACAAGUGAUGGGUUUGUUUUAAUUUUUGAAAAUUGAAAACACGCAUAAGCUGUUUCUAUUCCAGUUCAAUGCAACAUCCAUUGCAUUUGAUAAUGGCUGUUUUUAUGUUACUUCUUGCAAGUUUUCAUAAACUUUUUGGUGAUCAGAUUUCAAGAAUUGUUGCAAUGUUCAUUUUUAUUACAGAAAAUGAUUUAAUACCACCCUGAAAAUGCAGUAAAUAGUUACAUUCUCAGUAGUAUGGGCUUUUUUCAAGAAAGGAAGCUAUGAAAUGUUUGACUUGAACAGGUAAAAUAUCAUUGACUUUUCAUGUAGGAGAAUUCAUUCUUCUUCUAAUUGCGUGGUGGAAGCAGUUCUGCAUGUGUUUGCAGACAUGGUAAUUGUAGGCUUCAAGGGACUUGAACGCUUUCAUAGCUUUAUUGGUAAACUCGUUGGAUGAAUCGAUCAAGUAUUGAGUUACCUAACUCCACAAAGAAUUCAGCAAGUUUGAUAUAUCAUUAGUUUUUCCCUGUUCCAGCAAAACAGGUCAGGAAGCAUUGUGCCGUUGGUGAACAAUGAAUUCGCAGAAGAAUGCUUUUAAGCUGUUAGUCCAAGAAUGUAGUCUUGAAGCUUUUCCUCAAAAGCCAUUUUAGAUUUUACCAGUAUACAGAGACACUUUCAUAUUGUAGCUAGGUCAUGUGUUAACACAUAUGGCGACCUGUAAAAGCCCAUUUCCACUUUUUUUGCAAUUUGCAAAAUCACAUGCGAUUUUGUAGGCACAAACCCUCUGCCCCCACAUGAAGUGAGUGAUCAUUCCAAGAGUGAGUGUGUGAAAGUGUCAACAAUCACUUCACUUAUCAAAAACCUUGUGGUUUUUGGAAAGAGAAAGAAGAAAACAAGUGAUGAUGUUGAUCAUGCAAUUCUGGAAGAAUUAAGAGAGACAUCACAGUCAACACCAUCAAAAAGAGAUGAAGACAGCCUAGUUAUGAAGAGACUCGUCCCUCAAUUAAAACGUUUAGAGUUCAAACAAAAGGCACGUGUAAAAUGCCAAAUGCCAAAUUCCUCUACAGCAAAUUUUAUUUAAAGCUGAGUGUUGAUGCCCGAAUAUUUAAGUAAAGUUUCUGGUUAAUAUCCUUGGCAUAAAAAAGUAUUGUUGUUGUAUUAUAUUUUGUUUUUAUGCGAAAAUCUCAGAUUACCACUUAGCAUUUCUAGUACGGAACUUACAAAAAUACAACCUACAGACAGUUUUUAGGCCCUGCAUGCACCAAACAAAAUUUCAGGAAAAACUUCUGGCACACUUAAUCUCUAUUGUUCAUAGAGAUAGCGGAUUAAGCUUGUUUGUAAACAAAUGCUGAUUUUCCAAUGCGGCCACCCAAGUUGCCACUGAAGAAAAUUUACUGAAGCUUGGUUUCCACUAUGAGUUAACAUGAGUUAAUUUGAGAUAAUUUUGUGAUCUGACAUGGUUUAAAAAUUAUCUCAUAGUGGCAACAGUCAUUAAAAAUUAUCUCAUGAAAAUUAACUUGUGUUAACUCACGUUAUCUCAUGAGCUUGGAAACAAAUUUUUGUAAUUUCAAGCUCAUGAGUUAACUUGAUAACAUUUAAUCAAAAGAAGCUGAUGCGCGGUAGAGGAAUAUGCUAUAACUUGCACUGAGGUUCUCACGCAAUGCACUUGCACUGAGUAUUACUUUAGAUGUUGAGAACAGUUUUCCUUACUCAAAAAUAUUUAAUUGUGAAAUAAGAGAAACAUUUUCUCAUUUCUAAGAUCCUGUUGCAAGUGGUCGUAUUCACCAAAUGCAUAUCUUUUUUGGUAGACUUUCCGUACCGAAAACCUUGGUAGACUUUUCAAUCGGCAGUUCUAGCAAAUAAAAUAAUUUCCUUCUAAAUAUUCUCAAAAGCAGAAGUAAAAUAAGUUACAAUACCCUAAGCCAUAUCAUUCUUUGUUUAAACAACUUCACAUUGACUAAACAGCAAACAACUAUUUUACACACAAACUGCAGAUUCGUUGCCAAAAUAUUUGGUGAACUUACAUUUCCGAUAAUCUUAAAUCACAUUUUAUGAUGUGCAGCAGUGUAUUUACAGUAUACUAAGUUUCACUCCUGUUAUAAAAAUGAUAGUCAACGAAUCCCUAUGCCCCAAUAAAUUAUUCACCAGUUUUUUCAGCUCUCAUUAGUAGACCAGUUUUUGAAAAUAGUUUCCUUCUAAAGCCAGGGUAUUCAUUGCCAAAUUUCUCCCAAGCUUCUCCUAACCAUUUUGUGAUCAGUAUCCUUCUUUCGGAAGCUGUAAUAUUUAAUUGCUAUUUCUCUAAGUUAUAAUCUUCUUCAAGAAAAACAUCCAUCGGCUCCCCAUUAAUACUUUGAUUUAAUAACCUUCCCCUGGUUGGCAUUUUUCUGUCUCCUGUGGAAGUAGUGGAUACACAACAAUAUUAGCUAUAGAUUGGCAAGCUCUAUGAAAUUCUCAAGUCAUUUGAAAGAUGAAAAAGGUCAAGCAUUCACCAAUAUCAUAAAAGAAUGAACAGAAAAGAAUUUUGUAUGCACAGUCAAGACCAACAAGAAAUACAUUAUCAUACUGAGAAAGAGCUCAGCCCCAUGCCAUCGAAAUGGAGGUUUUCUGCCAAAUUCUAGAUGUAAAGGUACUGCAAGAUUCAGUUUACAAGUGAUGGGUUUGUUUUAAUUUUUGAAAAUUGAAAACACGCAUAAGCUGUUUCUAUUCCAGUUCAAUGCAACAUCCAUUGCAUUUGAUAAUGGCUGUUUUUAUGUUACUUCUUGCAAGUUUUCAUAAACUUUUUGGUGAUCAGAUUUCUAGAAUUGUUGCAAUGUUCAUUUUUAUUACAGAAAAUGAUUAAAUACCACCCUGAAAAUGCACAGAUUAUAAAAUAGUUACAUUCUCAGUAGUAUGGGCUUUUUUCAAGAAAGGAAACUAUGAAAUGUUUGACUUGAACAGGUAAAAUAUCAUUGACUUUUCAUGUAGGAGAAUUCAUUCUUCUUCUACAUUGCGUGGUGGAAGCAAUUUUGCAUGUGUUUGCAGACAUGGUAAUUGUAGGCUUCAAGGGACUUGAACGCUUUCAUAGCUUUAUUGGUAAACUCGUUUGAUAAAUCGAUCAAGUAUUGAGUUACCUAACUCCACAAAGAAUUCAGCAAGUUUGAUAUAUCAUUAGUUUUUCCCUGUUCCAGCAAAAACAGGUCGGGAAGCAUUGUGCCGUUGGUGAACAAUGAAUUCGCAGAAGAAUGCUUUUAAGCUGUUAGUCCAAGAAUGUAGUCUUGAAGCUUUUCCUCAAAAGCCAUUUUAGAUUUAAUACAGAGACACUUUCAUAUUGUAGCUAGGUCAUGUGUUAACACAUAUGGCGACCUGUAAAAGCCCAUUUCCACUUUUUUUGCAAUUUGCAAAAUCACAUGCGAUUUUGUAGGCACAAACCCUUUGCCCCCACAUGAAGCGAGUGAUCAUUCCAAGAGUGAGUGUGUGAAAGUGUCAACAAUCACUUCACUUAUCAAAAACCUUGUGGUUUUUGGAAAGAGAAAGAAGAAAACAAGUGAUGAUGUUGAUCAUGCAAUUCUGGAAGAAUUAAGAGAGACAUCACAGUCAACACCAUCAAAAAGAGAUGAAGACAGCCUAGUUAUGAAGAGACUCGUCCCUCAAUUGAAACGUUUAGAGUUCAAACAAAAGGCACGUGUAAAAUGCCAAAUUCCUCUACAGCAAAUUUUAUUUAAAGCUGAGUGUUGAUGCCCGAAUAUUUAAGUAAAGUUUCUGGUUAAUAUCCUUGGCAUAAAAAAGUAUUGUUGUUGUAUUAUAUUUUGUUUUUAUGCGAAAAUCUCAGAUUACCACUUAGCAUUUCUUGUACAGAACUUACAAAAUACAACCUACACACAGCUUUUCUUAGGCCAUGGAUGCACCAAACAAAAUUUCAGGAAAAACUUCUGGCACACUUAGGCUUGUUUUUAAACAAAUGCUGAUUUUCCAAUGCGGCCACCCAAGUUUCCGCUUAAGCAAAUUCACUAAAGCUUGUUUUCCACUAUGAGUUAACAUGAGUUAAUUUGAGAUAAUUUUGUGAUCUGACAUGGUUUAAAAAUUAUUUCAUAGUGGCAACAGUCAUUAAAAAUUAUCUCAUGAAAAUUAACUUGUGUUAACUCACGUUAUCUCAUGAGCUUGGAAACAAAUUUUUGUAAUUUCAAGCUCAUGAGUUAGCUUGAUAACAUUUUAUCAAGAAAAUGAAUGGUAGAGGAAUAUGCUAUAAUUUGCACUGAAGUUCUCACGCAACACACUUGCACUGAGUAUUACUUUAGAUGUUGAGAACAGUUUUCUUUACUCAAAAUUUGUGAAAUAAGAGAAACAUUUUCUCAUUUCUAAGAUCCUGUUGCAAGUGGUCGUAUUCACCAAAUGCAUAUCUUUUUUGGUAGACUUUCCGUACCAAAAACCUUGGCGCAGAUCGGGAAUGGCACUUCUAGCAAAAAAAAUAUUUUCCUUCUAAAUAUUCUCAAAAGCAGAAGUAAAAUAAUUUGUUCUUGUAAGACGCCUGCUGUAGCUGCAAGACUCAAAUAAAAUGUGAUUUCUGAAAUUUCCAUACUUAAUUCUAUCUCAAGUGGAAACCAAAUCAGUACGUGGGUUAAUUUUGAGCUAGGUCGCGUUAUCUCACAUUAUUUCACACUAUCUCAAGUUAACUUGAAUUUAGACCAUGAGUUAAUUUUCAAUUUUACUCAGAAUUAUUUCACGUUAACUCAGAGUUGAAACCAAGCUUAAGCCCUCAAAGGUUCUGUCAUCCUGCUGCAGAGCAGGACAAACUCUUAAAAAUGGAAAUGAUUAGCAAUCAACGCAUUUUUCUGGCACCGCACAAUACCUCCAAGCCAUUCUUUGUUUAAACAACUUCACAUUGACUAAACAGCAAACAACUAUUUUACAUACCAACUGCAGAUUCGUUGCCAAAAUAUUUGGUGAACUUACAUUUCUGAUAAUCUUAAAUUACAGUUUAGGAUGUGCAGCAGUGUAUUUACAGUAUACUGAGUUUCACUCCUGUUAUAAAAAUGAUAGUCAACGAAUCCCUCUGCUCCAAUAAAUUCUUCAUCAGUUUUUUCAGCUCUCAUUAGUAGACCAGUUUUUGAAAAUAGUUUCCUUUUAAAGCCAAGGUAUUUUUGCCAAGUUUCUCCUAAGCUUCUCCUAACCAUUUUGUGAUCAGUAUCCUUCUUUCGGAAGCUGUAAUAUUGAAUUGCCAUUUCUCUAAUUCAUAAUCUUUUUCAAGAAAAACAUCCAUCUGCUCCCCUAUUAAUACUUUGAUUUAAUAACCUUCCCCCUGGUCUACUGGUUGGCAUUUUUCUGUCUCCUAUGGAGGUAGUGGAUACACAACAGUAUUAGCUAUAGAUUGGCAAGCUCUAUAAAAUUCUCAAGUCAUUUGAAAGAUGAAAAAGGUCAAGCAUUCACCAAUAUCAUAAAAGAAUGAACAGAAAAGAAUUUUGUAUGCACAGUCAAGACCAACAAGAAAGACAUUAUCAUACUGAGAAAGAGCUCUGUUUCAGCCCUAUGCCGUCGAAAUGAAGGUUUUGUGGCAAAUUUGAUGCUUACAAUGUUUGAACCAGAGAUCAACCAAAAUCCCGUGAUGGGCUUAAGGCUACUGUGACACUUGUUUCUUGGAAGAGAGGGACAGCUCAGAAAGUAUAGAAAAUUCUACCGACCAGUAUAUUCACCUUAAAAACAGAACUGCAUUAGGACGAGGGCAGCAAAUAAAGUCUGACAUGCCAAUAUAAAUCAACUCUAAUGGCUUACAGGGCAAUAUUAAUUUGGAGACAACUGAUGAACAAGUUUGUCAUCAUGAAAAGGGGGGAAGAACUUUGUCCCAAAUGUAAGACUUGGCUCAUUAUCUAAAGACGAGAAGACCGCUGUAUUAAACAUGCUUAAAGAAGAGGCUGAAUCAUUUGCCAAAGAAAACUCAGAGAUAGGCAUUGCAGAGGGCCUAGAAAAGGAAAUAAACUUGAAUGACACAAAACCAGUAUAAUAGAAUUAUAUAGCAGUUCCUAGGCCGUUAUAUUGCGAGGGUAAAGCAUAUAUCGAGGAUCUAUUCAACAAAAAGUUAAUCAGAGAUUGCAAGUCAACUUGGUCUUCACCAUUAAUAUGUGUGAGGAAGAAAUAUGGAGCCCUCCCCCUGUGUGUGGACUAUCGUGGUUUGAACAGGAAAACUAUCAAAGACCGCCAGCCACUGUCACAAAUUCAAGAGACAUUAUAUAACCUUGGUGGUUGCCAAUGGUUCACUGUCCUGGACCAGGAAAAGGCCUACCAACAAGGGUUUGCCAAGCCAGACCUUCGCAAUCUUCACAAGCCUUGAGCUAUAUUCUCAAUCAACGUUUUAUUCACACCAUCCACUGAUUGAAGUCCGUUUUCAAGCUGGGGCUGUUAUGAUUUUGAACAAUGCUUUUGCAGUGUGUCAGUCUGAUAAUGCUCUGUAUGCAAUUUUAAUAAAUGUUGUUGCUUAGUUGUAUUUACUAAUUUAAAUCAAUCUUAAUAAGCUAAGCUGACUUGUUUCUCUAAGGUAAAGUGAAAAACCGAAGAGAAACUCUCCAUGUGUGUCUCUGUGAAAACUUCAUAACCAACUCAAUUAAAAAAUAGCUUUGUACAAACUAAAAAGUUGAUAAUAGAGAGUUAUUGAAUUUAAUAGAAAAGGAAGAGAAAAGAGGCAGAUGAAAACAAUAGGGCUAAAGAAUUACUGCGUAAUUUCCAAACACAAGGUGUUCUCUGUUAUUGUUUUGCGAGUUUGUUUGUAUUGCGGGUUUUGUGAGUUCACUACACAAUGAAUGAUGGAGACAAACGAUCAGCGGUUAUUGCUAAAUUUAACAAGCAAAGAAGCAAAAGCAGACAACUCUAGAUUUUUUGCUUUCAACAAAGAAAGAUUGCAUCCCAUCUUUGAUUUGCCAUCCGCUGUCACAAGCACAUUUGAAAAUGGCUUUGAAAAAAGCAAACAUUUUACAACAUACUUAAAGCUUUUUCGUCUGACACUCCUCAGAGCAUAAAACGUCAGAAUAGGUUCCGAAAAAACACAAUGGAAAAAUAUAUACCCAGUUGUGGAUCGAAAUAGUUUUAUGCUCUGAGGAGUGUCAGACGAAAAAGCUUUAAGUAUGUUGUAAAAUGUUUGUUUUUUUCAAAGCCAUUUUCAAACUCUGUUCCGCAAAAAAAUUGUUCACAAGCACAUUUGCACCAAGAGAUGCUUUGCCACCUAUACAUAGCCCUUCUUCCAAACAUACUACUCCAGUUUUAAAGUCCUCCUCUCUGACUAAAGAAUGCAAAACCAAAUCUCGUUUUCCAAAUGACAUUGGAAACUUUCUUGAAAAGGCCUCUGCUCUCACUGAAGAUACAAAGUUUGACCUGCUUUGCAAUGUUUGGAGGCGGGUCAUAAUUUUCCUCUUGACAAAAGAAAUAGAAGAUUACAAUAUUGUUGGUUUUCUGAAUUACCCUGGCUUGUCUAUUCUGAAGUCCUAGAUGGAGCAUUUUGCUUAAUGUGUUUUCUCUUUGGUGGCGAAAGUACACACAACUCUUCAAAGUUUAAGAACUAAUUUUGGACGUCCCUAAACACUUGGUCCUCUGUAUUGCAGAAGUUAGGUGAGCAUGUAGAGAAGUCAGAAGUUCAUACUACAGCUACUUCGAGAUCUGCUCAGUUUAAUUUGGUUAUGCAGCAAAAAAGGCUACAUCUGCAGAUCUCCUUCUGAAUAAGGCCAAGCGGGAACAAAUUGAGUGAAAGAAGCAAUGCCUUGGGCCAUUCGUUGAUUUUGUGAUGUUGUCUGGGAGGCAAAAUAUGGCUCUAAGGGCCCAUAGAGAUGAUUCAUCAUAUUAUGAGGAGGAAAGUGUAAAUCCCGGCAACUUUCAAGAAGUUCUGAAGUAUUGGGCCAGGUGUGGUGAAAAGAUGCUUGCGAAUUUAGAAAGUGCCCCUAAAAAUGCAACAUAUCGCUCAAAAACCACACAGAAUGAGAUAAUUACCAUCUGCAGGGAAAUGAUAUCAGAGGUCAUUCUGAGCGACGUAAAAGAGGCUAAAUUUUUUUCUAUCUUAGCUGAUGAGGCCACAAAUUGCUCACAUGUCGAGCAGUAUGUCUGUUGUUUUUUUGUUUGUCAACCAAAAUUGAUCCAUUCGAGAGGAGUUUAUUGGAUUUAUUCCAUGUCAGCAAGGCCUCUCUGGGGAAGCGAUUUCAAAUAAUUUGUUGCAUGCGGUCGUAAGCUUUGGUCUUUUCAUGGAUCACUGCCGGGGCCAAGGUUACGAUGGUGCCGGUAAUAUGGCAGACAGAAUUUCCGGUGCUGCUGCUCGUAUUCAGUCACUCUUCAACAAUGCUGUCUAUGGCCACUGUAGCUCACACAUACUAAAUCUUUGUUGUUCCUCAUGUCAGAUUCAGUAAGUCAAAAACAUGAUGGAUAAGGUUCGGGUAGCAUCAGAGAAUUGUUUCCAAAUUCGCAUCAUACCCACUUGAUUAAUGUGUGUUGAACAAGGUGGCUACCACCUAUAGAUGGCUUAGAUAUAAUGAUAGAGUUAUAUCUAGCUAUUGUUGCCACUCUUGAAAUAAUUGAGGAGACUGUUGAGAAAACUUGGAAUGCUGAUUCAACUGACAAGGCUGUGAACAUAUUUCACUGUAUAGUGACUUUCGAGUUCGUUAUGGCGCUUGUUAUUGUCUGCCGCUGGCUUGAAAUCACAAGGCAUCUUACAAAGCAGCUCUAGACUGCCUCUUAUGAUGCUGGUGCUGUUAGGGAAAAAAUCUCGUUUCUUUAUGUUAUGCUUCAGAAAAUGCGGUGUAAUGUUGAUGCCAAGCAGUAGGAGGCAGUUAGCAUUAUAAGUUCUUGUGACAUCACAUCAGGCAAAAAGUUUGAGCCUAUAGCAGACAAAUGAAGACGACAAGUCCAUCGAGAAAAUAUUCCUUCCAAUUCUCUUGCAGAAUAUUAUCGUAGAGGCAUCUCUGUACCCUUUCUGGACCAUCUUAUCAGCCAUCCCAAUGUAUGCUUCACCCGUUCAAAUCUCGAUGUUAUGGAUACACUCUAUGAUAUGUCAUGUAUCGCAUUCAGAUUGGCAAACAGGGUUCCACCGGUUUCUUGAUAAAUACAAAGAGAAUCUUCCUGAGCCUCAGUAUCUUUCCAAGGAGAUGUUGGAAGAGAAUUGUAAUCAUCUUGCUUGUACACCACCAAAAACCGUACAAGAGUUGUUAAAUUUCAUCAACCCAUUCACUUUUCCCAAUGUAAUUGUGGCAUUUAGAAAUUUUGGAACUAUCCCAGUUAUUGCUUGUUCUUGUGAACGUUCUAUCUCGACACUGAAGAGAUUGAGAACAUACCUUAGAAACCCUAUGUCAGAAACAGGCUUGGGUGUUAGAAACCCUAUGUUCAUCGCGAUGUAAGACUUGACGUCAUUGAUGUCAUUGAACCUUUUGCAUGAAAGGGUAAUGGAAAGAUAUUGUUAUUGGACAACUAACUUGUGCUUAUGUGACAUUGAUCUUUUGAAAACAAUAUCCUAUUGAUUAGCUGACGUUGCUUGUUUUGUUCUGUUUCUCAUUGUUGUAUAUUUUAGUCACUUCCAUAUCUUCAACUGCCUUCUAACCAGUUUUAGGAUUCUUGAAAUUUAUUCUCCAUUCAGAUUUCUGCGUUGUUGUUGAGGUGUCAUGUUUGUUUGGUUAACAUUUAUUACCUUUGUAUGACAGGACACACCAAUGUAUAAAAAAAGAACUAGGCCUGCUAUUAAAAUAGGUUAGGUGAUUAAAACAUGUUCCAUGGCUGAUAGGAUGAAAUGUCUGGUUAAAGGGGUUUUGAUAUUAUUUAUCUUUUAGUUUCUUUUCGAGUCAUUAGAGGACCGCCAUGAAAAGCACCUCUUGAUAAUUAGGGCAUAUAUAUUUUUCUCUUAAAUUUGCUUCAGUUAAAACUCAACCUAUAUUUAUGGGUGUGACCAAAGACGAGCAUAAAAUUGCCACGGCCUGUCUUUCAUUUUGCAGUGGCCAUGCCACUGUCAGAUUUGUAGCUAGAUCGACCCCUGGAUUAUAAGGAUACAAAAUCGUAAUAAAUCCAUAAUUGAAUCAUAGUUGAAUCCCUGGUUAGAAAUGCCAGCGAACUUAAAAAAGGAUUUCUAUUGUUCUGUUUUUGAUGUUGAGUAUAAGAGUUUGCAAAGGUCGCGUGAUAGUGCACAACAUUGCGAUAAUGACUACGUUGAAUGAUGUGCUUUGGUUAUAAUAAUGAGACGAUUUUGAUGCAAUAGUGGAUGCAGUUGAAGAGAACGGAAGAUUAGAAGAUACUCUUGAAGAAGCAAUUUAUAAAGUAUGCUAUUUUUGCAUCCAUUCUUUAAGAAAUAUAAAUUUUGCUAAAGAAACUUCGAGUUCAUAAUUCCCUCUUGGCCUACGUAGAGUAGAUUCUUAUUCCAGCCUACCUUGAUUCGAUUGUAAUUGAUAAGAAAGCAUAAUAUUUGAACAAAUCGAUUUAAUACAAUGUUUUAUUUUAUAACGAUGAGUGAGAGCUUUAAUAAUAAACACAACCACAAAGCACAAUUUAAUAUGAUGGAUUAUGUUAUUAUGACGUGAGAAAUCUUUAAUAACAUCCACAACUUCAUUGUUGACAGUCACCAUUACAGUCAAUAAAAUUGAUACCGGUUUAUCAUAUUUGUUCCUACCCUUGGUCCGUUUAGCAAUUAUCUUAUCGAUUUAUCAGUAUACAUUUGCUUACAAUUUUUACUUUUCAUCAGAUAAAAACUGGGAAUUACACCUGUGAUAUUUGCAAAAAAGUCUGCAAAAGUAGGCGUGGAUUAGAGAGGCACACAAAAAGCCACAAAAAUACUGUUGAAAGAAGCCCUCUGGAUAUUCCCUGUUAAACAAUAUUAUGUGUGAGGAAAAGUUGAAGUUUUUUAGCAAUGGAUGCUACUCAGAAGGUCAUAGAAAAGAGCUUGAGGCAGUUGACCAGAUUCCGAAUUAAGAACUACUCAGUGCAUUUGCGGACCAUUUUAACAAUUUAAUGAAAAAUGGUAAUGCAGAAAAGUUUUAUUCCCAGACUUGUGCAAAUAUUGCAUUCAAUUGAAAUAAGUUUCUCCCUGACGUUUUUCCACUUGUACCAUUAAGAAAAUCUAAAUGUGCCAAACAACUUUCCAUCCACUUGGCAACAAGGGUCUCUGGUCGGAAUUGGAUUGUCACCUCUUCUUUGUGCAAAAAUGUGCCAAAAGUUCUGAGAGCCUCAAAAUCUCAGUUUUUUGCAAAUAACUUUUUUCACAGACGUGGUACCCCCCAACAUACCCAUAUAAAUCAAAAGUACUCGUCAAGGCGCAUCGAUUGAUGGUAUGGUUGUUCCAGAAAAAGUUGAAAAUAAGGUGCCAUUUUGGCACAAAGUUUAAAAUGUGCCAUUUUUGGACGUUUUUGCCCAUAUCUCUGCUUGUAUAGAUGGUACCUUGGCUUGCAAUAGCUCAUAAGAAAGAACGUCUCUAGACGGUCAGUUUUGGGUUCAGUAUUUGGGCGUGGCUGUGACGUCAGAGCUACGUCACAAUGACGAAUUCAGGCCCAUUUUCAAAAAUUCAUUUCUCUUCUGUGAAACAAGUGUUAGUGUGGGUAAUAUGUGUAAAAGAUCGGUAAAUUAGGCUUCUUUGAUGGUGCAGUCAGUAUUUUACAGUACCUGUCACAGUUGGCCUAGAAUUGGCACAUUUGUAAUGGUAUGUAUUUGAAAAACGUUUAGGCCCAAAACUUUCGGCAUACAUGAGGUACCUCCGAUAUUAUUGCAGCAAACGAAAGAUCUCGUCGAGACAAAUCGAUUGGUGGUAUUGGGUAAGGGGUAUCACCUAGUAAUGACGUCGCUAUGACCGGUUGAAGUUCUGGGACAUUUCUGUAUUGGUGUAAUUGUUCUGACUAGGCCCGAUCCCCGUUUUGUGUUGUGACUUUUCAAGCUUUAUUUCCAUAACUCGGCAACUAUACAGAGUAAAUUAGGGGCCAAGGGCUCAUUUUCAAGGGUUUUACAAAUGUAAUCUGCUGGUAUGGAUAUUUUCAGGAUUGGGUGUGGCUGUGAUGUCAUUGUGACGUCAUGGUUUUAAUUUUAUUAAGAGAAAUUAAAAAUUAAAUGUUUUACAUCAAAAUUUAUUGAAUCAGAUGAAAGAUCUCAUUGAUGCGAUUCGAAUGGUGGUAUUGGUUAUGGUGUAGCGAUAAAGGUUUAAUUUUUUACCCUUUGAAAUGUUCAAACCUUCACAAAUUAUCAUGUUGCUGUCUGCCCAGUCGUCGGCCUGUCACUGUUUCUCAUUUAUCUUAUUGGUUGAGAAAGGAACAAUCAAAUCGAACCGUUCUUUGUUCAUUUUUUUAAAACUUCAUUUUUAAACAAUGUAAUGGAAAUUUCUUUUGUUCAUAUCGAUUGUAUGCAAAUGAUCGAACGUUUAUGGCGAGUCAGUUUAUAGAACUAAUUUGCAUAACAAUUUCAAUGCUAUGGUUCAUUGUGGUUCAUUUAGUUCUGAGGCAUGCCGCGAUCAGGAAGAUGCUUGUGCGAUCUUUAGAAAUUUACAUGAAUUGGUUAUCAUGUAAUACUGGAAAUACUUAAUUGAAUUGUUGAUCAAUUGAAUGUGAGCCGUUGAUCUGUUUGCUGAUAGGAUUUUAUAUCAUUCGCAGAUGGAUCGGUAGAACUAUCGGGGGUUGUUGAGACCUCGUGGCGUGGUUGGAUUGCUUCGGCAUCCAGUUACUGAUGUUCGGAUCAAUCCAGACGCUGAUGUCUACAGGCGGAUUUAUUUGCUGAAAUGUUUUCAAGGAUAGGACUUCCUCCGUUAUUUACCAAGAAAAUGUACCUACUUUAAAAAAUAGAAGAAUUCAUGUGCUGUUCGUGUGCGAC